UGACAGAGAAGAUGUUUGAGUGAGAGAGAUGAAGGAGAAAGGGUUGAGAGGAAUGAAAGAUGUGAGUAAGGGUUUGGGGUUUCUUUUUUUAGUUUUGAGAAUGAAAAUUAUUAAAAUAAGGCAAGUGUUUCUGAUUUUUUUGAAUUGGGGCUAAAGUAGGGAUGACAGAGAAAAGGUUGGAGUGAAAGAGAAAGGGUUGAGAGGAAUGAGAGAGGUGGACAAGGGUUUGGGAGGUUUCUUUUUUUAUUUUUUUAAUUUUGAGAAUGAAAAUUAUUAAAAUACCCUUAACCUUAAAACUUAGAAUUCAUGAUAUAAGGGUAUUUUUGUCUACUGAAACCCGGUACACAUUGCUAAAAUGUACCAACUGAAAAACAGGCG
rnacentral:lncRNA from 1 species